rnacentral:misc_RNA from 1 species
GAUGAAGAACGCAGCGAAAUGCGAUAAGUAAUGUGAAUUGCAGAAUUCAGUGAAUCAUCGAAUCUUUGAACGCACAUUGCGCCCGCCAGUAUUCUGGCGGGCAUGCCUGUUCGAGCGUCAUUUCAACCAUCAAGCCCCAGGCUUGUGUUGGGGACCUGCGGCUGCCGCAGGCCCUGAAAACCAGUGGCGGGCUCGCUGUCACACCGGGCGUAGUAGAUUUUAUCUCGCUCAGGGCGUGCUGUGGGUUCCGGCCGUUAAAAAGCCUUUUUUACCCAAGGUUGACCUCGGAUCAGGUAGGAAUACCCGCUGAACUUAAGCAUAUCAAUAAGCGGAGGA